CAGUAGCCGCGGGAAUACGAAGGGGGCUAGCGUUGUUCGGAAUUACUGGGCGUAAAGGGCGCGUAGGCGGCCAUUCAAGUUAGAUGUGAAAGCCCUGGGCUCAACCUAGGAAUUGCAUUUGAUACUGUUUGGCUUGAGUUCGGGAGAGGUGAGUGGAAUUCCCAGUGUAGAGGUGAAAUUCGUAGAGAUGUGGAGGAACACCAGUGGCGAAGGCGACUCUCUGGUCUGUAACUGUCGCUGAGGAGCGAAAGCGUGGGGAGCGAACAGGAUUAGAGACCCCCGUAGUCCCUGUCUCUUAUAC
rnacentral:rRNA from 1 species